rnacentral:piRNA from 1 species
ACUGCUAUCGAUGUCGACAGUCACAGCAUU